GACGAACGCUGGCGGCGUGCCUAAUACAUGCAAGUCGAGCGGACCGAACAGGAGCUUGCUCUUGUUCGGUUAGCGGCGGACGGGUGAGUAACACGUGGGUAACCUACCCGUAAGACCGGGAUAACUCCGGGAAACCGGAGCUAAUACCGGAUAACACCAAAGACCGCAUGGUCUUUGGUUGAAAGGCGGCUUCGGCUGUCACUUACGGAUGGGCCCGCGGCGCAUUAGCUAGUUGGUGAGGUAACGGCUCACCAAGGCGACGAUGCGUAGCCGGCCUGAGAGGGUGACCGGCCACACUGGGACUGAGACACGGCCCAGACUCCUACGGGAGGCAGCAGUAGGGAAUCUUCCGCAAUGGACGAAAGUCUGACGGAGCGACGCCGCGUGAGCGAAGAGGGUCUUCGGAUCGUAAAGCUCUGUUGUUAGGGAAGAAGAAGUACCGUUCGAAUAGGGCGGUACGGUGACGGUACCUAACGAGAAAGCCCCGGCUAACUAC
rnacentral:rRNA from 1 species